rnacentral:autocatalytically_spliced_intron from 1 species
ACGGUGGACUCCAUAAUGUAUAAUUGCCUUAUACUGACGAAAUUAUGGACAAUACCGUGGGAAGUCUAACUUCAGAGAUAAAAUCGAUGGUAAAAUGUUACCUU